UGAAUUGCCGUGGGGAUUUUGGCGGCGUUUGGUGCUGAAAUUGGUGCGCUAUUUUGUGGUGAAUCGGACGGCUAUUGUGAGCAGCAAGCAACUCCGUGGUUUGGCGGCAUUCCAGAGCGCAACGCUGACGGUGGAUUCGGUGUGCUAAUCGGGCGGAACCGGCAGGAGGAGAACAAAAGAGGGCGGAAAGGCGGUCGCUGGCGGAAAUUUUUGGAUCAAGUUCAAGGUCGGGACGCCAUUUUGGACGCCGGCUGGUCGAAGACGCGGCGCGCGUUGGUCUUCUUUUGUUCGUUGGGUGCUGCAUCACAAGUGGGCCGAAUAGCCAAGGUGGAGUUUCUGCUAAUUCAUUAGUGCAAACUUCAGUUCCGCGGACCGGAGAACUCCUGUGCUGGUGCGCGAGUCGCUGAACGAGUUUUGCAGCGCAGGUUGAGUUAUUUUCGCUGGCAAAGGCCGGGAAGGAGAUCGAUACUCAUUCAACACGGUUCCCAGUGUAGCGAAGACAAGAAAGCGCGAUGGCGGCUAGUAGCACGAACCGUCGUGUUGUGGACUCGAAGGAGAUGUGCUGUUCGUGGUGACUGGCAAUCAAAGAGGUUGCUGGUGGAGUGCAGCAAACGAAAUGACCUUCUACUGAAGACGAAAUGCGAAACGACAUGGAGAUUUCGAACGAGGACACGUGUGGUGCUGGAUGCGGCAGAUACCGUCCGUUUAGGGGUGUCUCUGAACGGAAAGGAACAAAACGUAAAAAACGCAAAAAGUGACUAUUUUAAAUUCCUGAACAAUAUUUUCAUUCGAAUAGUACAAAAAGUUGUAUUAGAUUUUUGGUUGAUUCAUAACCUUGCUUUAUAUACAUUACUUUGUUAUCAUUUCAUUAAUGAGUUCGAUUAACUUUAGUUUUAAGCAAAGGGGGAAGGACUGUUGAGUACCCCUCGUUUGAGUACUAGUCAAAUGACAGCACAAAUACAUGUAACGCGCGUUCUCUAACUUACCUUAAAUAAACGAGCUUGUGCUCUAUUCGGCCUCUUUCUACGCUGAUACUCGAA